rnacentral:rRNA from 1 species
CAUAUCAAUAAGCGGAGGAAAAGAAACCAACAGGGAUUGCCUCAGUAACGGCGAGUGAAGCGGCAAAAGCUCAAAUUUGAAACCUUCGGGAUUGUAAUUUGAAGAUUUGGCAUUGGAGAAAGCUAACCCAAGUUACUUGGAAUAGUACGUCAUAGAGGGUGACAACCCCGUCUGGCUAACCGUUCUCCAUGUAUUGCCUUAUCAAAGAGUCGAGUUGUUUGGGAAUGCAGCUCAAAGUGGGUGGUAAACUCCAUCUAAAGCUAAAUACUGGUGAGAGACCGAUAGCGAACAAGUACUGUGAAGGAAAGGUGAAAAGAACUUUGAAAAGAGAGUGAAAUAGUAUGUGAAAUUGUUGAUAGGGAAGGAAAUGAGCGGAGAGUGGUCGAGGUUUCAGCCAUCCCUUGGGAUGGUGUAUUGCCGACGCCGAGUCAUCGCUAGCGAGACGGGGGUUAUAAACGGGUUGCAUUCAUGCUUCUCACCUAGCCCCCCUACUGCCACCGACGACAUAAUCCGCCCAUUUCACCCGUCUUGAAACACGGACCAAGGAGUCUAAUGGAUAUGUGAGUGUUAGGGUGCCAAACCCCAGCGCGCAAUGAAAGUGAAUGAUUCGUUCAGAAUCGACCGAACUUGAUUUUUAUGACAGUUUUGAGUAAACACAUCCAUUGGGACCCGAAAGAUGGUGAACUAUGCCUGAAUAGGGUGAAGUCAGAGGAAACUCUGAUGGAGGCUCGUAGCGGUUCUGACGUGCAAAUCGAUCGUAGAAUUUGGGUAUAGGGGCGAAAGACUAAUCGAACCAUCUAGUAGCUGGUUCCUGC